GACGAACGCUGGCGGCGCGCUUAACACAUGCAAGUCGAACGGAAAGGCCUGCUUUCCCUUGUGGAUUGCGGGUACUCGAGUGGCGAACGGGUGAGUAACACGUGAGUGAUCUGCCCCCAACUUGGGUAUAAGCCUGGGAAACUGGGUCUAAUUCCCGAUAGGACUGCAGGGUGGUGCCUGUGGUGGAAAACGAUUUUCUAGUGGUUGGGGAUGAGCUCGCGGCCUAUCAGCUUGUUGGUGGGGUAAUGGCCUACCAAGGCGGCGACGGGUAGCCGGCCUGAGAGGGGGGACGGCCACAGUGGGACUGAGAUACGGCCCAGACUCCUACGGGAGGCAGCAGUGGGGAAGAUUGCACAAUGGGCGGAAGCCUGAUGCAGCGACGCCGCGUGGGGGAUGACGGCCUUCGGGUUGUAAACUCCUUUCGACCGCGAGGAAGCCACCUGGUUGGAAGGGUGGUGACGGUAGUGGUAGAAGAAGCACCGGCUAACUACGUG
rnacentral:rRNA from 1 species